CAUGUGCCUCUGUCCAGGAGCUGCUGACAAAGAAGCAAGCUGUACUUUCUCUUCGUAGGAGUCAGACACGUGUAUACAGAGAUGCACUCCAGUGGUCAUCCCUUGUUGUCCCUACCAGGAAGACAUGAGUCGCAUAGAGGACAAACUGGAUACCCUGUGUGACUUUGUUCAAAGCUGCAACCAGCUGCCAUUCAUGUGGUGUCAGUGUCAGCCUGGUGACCAGGAGUGGACAGAAAGAUGAGCCAAGAGAUAUCAAGACAUAUCUGGUGAGGUCAGGGCAGUCAGAGUGGAGGCCAUGUCUGAGCCUUUCUGCUUUGGACACGAGCGCAUGGGGAUAGUACACCCUCAGAUCCACCCCGCUACGUGACUGCCAUGACACCAUUGGGAAAGGCCUUGGCAUCAACUGCCUUCUCCAGAAAUGUUAAUUCCCUUUCCAUACCCUUAGUAUUUCUCAUGAUACAAAGGAAAAUUAUGGUACCCACUUUCCUGAGCUUUAAAAUCUGCUUCCCUCCUGACAGAGGCAGACCGCCCAAUUUUUCAAAUCCUUUCUCAUUAAGCCUUUGUUGACCUGAUCAACAUUUUUCUUCCACACUAACAUGUUUGAAGACUAUCUAUAGAAAAGACUCCAUUUUGAAAAUCCCAGAACAUGGGAGUGAGAUUAAAAUAUCUCUAUGGACCCCAGUGUCUGAGA